UACCUGGUUGAUCCUGCCAGUAKUCAUAUGCUUGUCUC
rnacentral:rRNA from 1 species